GCACGUGCUAUUUACUGCUCCGGUGCUGAACCCGGAGCGCAGGGCGCUCCAGGCCGGUCAAGCCCGAGAAGGACCUCGGAAACGGAAGACUCCCCAAGGAGCACCGCAGGCCAGGAGCAUGGACACUCUCGCUGGCACAUGCCCUUUGCAACAGGGGAGGCUGAUUUGAAGUGAAAGGGAAACAGCAGGAGAAUAUGAACUCACAAAGACUCAGCUUCCAUGGCAGCCUUGCAGCUUGAAAACAGACAAAGAAAAAUAGAGACAAUAUCACAAAUGAGCAAAGGGCAUGGUCUCCUGCUGGGCACAAAGGAGUGGAUUCUAAAGAAACAGACAGGUUGCUUCCUCUGGAAGGAUUUGGGGGUUUCUGAGCUCUUUGGAUGAUUAUCUACAACAACUAAUCCAUAAAUCAAUAAA